AUGAAGAACGUAGCGAAAUGCGAUACGUAAUGUGAAUUGCAGAAUUCAGUGAAUCAUCGAGUCUUUGAACGCACAUUGCGCCCCCUGGUAUUCCGGGGGGCAUGCCUGUCCGAGCGUCAUUGCUGCCCUCAAGCCCGGCUUGUGUGUUGGGUCUCGUCCCCCUUCCCGGGGGGACGGGCCCGAAAGGCAGCGGCGGCACCGUGUCCGGUCCUCGAGCGUAUGGGGCUUUGUCACCCGCUCUGUAGGCCCGGCCGGCGCUUGCCGAUCAACCAAAACUUUUUUCCAGGUUGACCUCGGAUCAGGUAGGGAUACCCGCUGAACUUAAGCAUAUCAAUAAGCGGAGGA
rnacentral:misc_RNA from 1 species